GGGGUUGACCGGUUUUGACAGCGGGUAGAAGAGGUUUGUAAGCAUGCAGUGCGUUGUCGGUUUGCACUUUAAUCUCAAACGUCAAAUCUUUAACUGGCAAUAACAAUUACGCUCUUGCCGCGUAACCGAAGUACAGUAGGUUAACGCUUAA
rnacentral:tmRNA from 1 species